rnacentral:lncRNA from 1 species
UUUUAAAAUAUAUCACUCACCAAAGCACACUUCUGAACUAUAUAAAACUCACCAGAGCACACGUCUGAACGCUAGGAAUAUCUGAAACAGAAUGAAGAAAAUGCCGUAAUGUAAGGUAUUAAAUAUACUUCUAGUCGGACGGAAAACUAAAUGAAUUUAUUCGAGCCAGCUACGCAGGCGUGUGUUUACCGGCUAGUUUAAUAUUUCAUGAAGUUGCCAGCCAGUAUGGGAUAAGACAGAGGUGGUAGUAGGUGCAAAGUUCUACUCAAAUGGAAUUGUAAUUACGCCUCAUUUCUGGAAUGAACAUACGAACUAGUAUACGACCCAACAGAUGCAAUUACAAAACAUCAUCUACCUCAUCAAAUAGAAUUUACGAUGAAAAAAGGAAUGUUAUGUGUAAAAGCGGCGAAGACAUAAAAAUGUAGAAUAUUUAUUAUGAUUUUCAGAAAAGCAAAUCGACGACUGCCUAUUUUAAAGAGGCUCCUGCAGGUCUGCUGGAAAUACGAAAAAAUAUUUUUAUUACUGUAGCAAAGAUACUUAGGAAAAAAUAAAUAAAUUUUUGAAGUAA